GCUUUAUCACAGCUCAGUUGGUAGAGCGUGAGACUCUUAAUCUCAGGGCUGUGGAUUUGAGCCCCACAUUGGGUG